GUGGUAGUGUAGUGGUUAAGGAGCUGGGCUAGCGUGCAGGAGCCUGAAAGGUUGUGGGUUCAAUUCCCAGCUUCCACC
rnacentral:tRNA from 1 species